UACGUAGGUCCCGAGCGUUGUCCGGAUUUAUUGGGCGUAAAGCGAGCGCAGGUGGCUUAUUAAGUCUGGUGUAAAAGGCAGUGGCUCAACCAUUGUAUGCAUUGGAAACUGGUAGACUUGAGUGCAGGAGAGGAGAGUGGAAUUCCAUGUGUAGCGGUGAAAUGCGUAGAUAUAUGGAGGAACACCGGUGGCGAAAACGGCUCUCUGGCCUGUAACUGACACUGAGGCUCGAAAGCGUGGGGAGCAAACAGG
rnacentral:rRNA from 1 species